GACUCUCGGCAACGGAUAUCUCGGCUCACGCAUCGAUGAAGAACGUAGCAAAAUGCGAUACUUGGUGUGAAUUGCAGAAUCCCGUGAACCAUCGAGUUUUUGAACGCAAGUUGCGCCCGAAACCAUUUGGUUGAGGGCACGUCUGCCUGGGCGUCACGC
rnacentral:rRNA from 1 species